GAAGCGGCAACAGCUCAAAUUUGAAAUCUGGCCUCUUCGGGGUCCGAGUUGUAAUUUGUAGAGGGUGUUUCGGGCGCGAUGCCGGUCUAAGUUCCUUGGAACAGGACGUCGCAGAGGGUGAGAAUCCCGUAUGCGACCGGCGAUCAAGUCUGUGUGAAACCCCUUCGACGAGUCGAGUUGUUUGGGAAUGCAGCUCAAAAUGGGUGGUAAAUUUCAUCUAAAGCUAAAUAUUGGCCAGAGACCGAUAGCGGACAAGUAGAGUGAUCGAAAGAUGAAAAGCACUUUGGAAAGAGAGUCAAACAGUACGUGAAAUUGUUGAAAGGGAAGCGCUUGCAAUCAGACCGGUCCGGAGGCGAUCAGCCGUCUGCUCGUUCAGCGGUGCACUCGCCUGCGAUCCGGCCAGCAUCGGUUUGGGCGGUGGGAUAAAAGUCCCGGGAAUGUAGCUUCUCUUGGGGAGUCUUAUAGCCCGGGUCGCAAUGCCGCCUGCCUGGACCGAGGACCGCGCUUCGGCUAGGAUGCUGGCGUAAUGGUUGCAAGCG
rnacentral:rRNA from 1 species